rnacentral:rRNA from 1 species
GACGAACGCUGGCGGCGUGCUUAACACAUGCAAGUCGAACGCAGUGGCGAACGGGUGAGUAACGCGUAAUCAACCUGCCCUUCAGAGGGGGACAACAGUUGGAAACGACUGCUAAUACCGCAUACUGAAGGAGGGGUUUGCGUCUGAUUAGCUAGUUGGUGGGGUAAGGGCCCACCAAGGCGAUGAUCGGUAGCCGGUCUGGGGGGAGUGACGGCCACAGUGGGACUGGGACACGGCCCAGACUCCUACGGGAGGGAGCAGUGGGGAAUCUUCCGGAAUGGACGAAAGUCUGACGGGGCAACGCCGCGUGAGGGAUGACGGCCUUCGGGUUGUAAAGCUCUGUUAAUCGGGACGCGGUACCGGAAUAGAAAGCCACGGCUAACUACGUGCCAGCAGCCGCGGUAAUUC